AGGAUAAACGCUGGCGGCGUGCCUAACACAUGCAAGUCGAACGCGCUUUCGGGCUUCGGUGCGAGAGCGAGUGGCGGACGGGUGAGUAACACAUGGGUACCUGCCUUUCAGUGAGGGAUACCGGCGAGAAAUCGCCGACAAUACCGCAUGGGCUUGUGGGAACACAAGCAAAGUGGCGCAAGCCACGCUGGAAGAUGGGCCUGUGGCCGAUUAGCUAGUUGGGGGGGUAACGGCCUCCCAAGGCGACGAUCGGUAGCUGGUCUGAGAGGACGAUCAGCCACACUGGGAUUGAGAACGGCCCAGACUCCUACGGGGGGCAGCAGUGAGGAAUUUUUCCGCAAUGGACGAAAGUCUGACGGAGCAACGCCGCGUGCAGGAGGAAGGUUUCGGAUCGUAAACUGCUUUCGUCGGGGACGAGCAAGGACGGUACCCGAGGAAGAACGCCCCGGCUAACUACGUGCCAGCAGCCGC
rnacentral:rRNA from 1 species